UACGGAGGGGGCUAGCGUUAUUCGGAAUUAUUGGGCGUAAAGGGUGCGUAGGCGGCUUAUUAAGUCAGGGGUGAAAGACGGUGGCUCAACCAUCGCAGUGCCCUUGAUACUGAUGAGCUUGAAUACACUUGAGGUAGGCGGAAUGUGACAAGUAGCGGUGAAAUGCAUAGAUAUGUCACAGAACACCAAUUGCGAAGGCAGCUUACUAAGGUGCAAUUGACGCUGAGGCACGAAAGCGUGGGGAUCAAACAGG
rnacentral:rRNA from 1 species